CUUGCUAAAUUGCUUUGGAAAAUCUGACAAACUACAACAUUGUUAGAACAGUGAAUUCAGAAGAUCUUUGUGGAAAACAGUAAGGAACAUGACAGAAGGUACAAAGGUAAUGAAUUAUGUGUAUCUAUUGAUGGCUGUUGAAAUCAAAGUGAAAAAUAAUAGUAAUUUGAAACAAAUGAAGAGAGGGAAGAUACAGAUAUCUUCCUUAAAGCUAUCCAUAAGAUAAGAUGAAUUGUGAUUGAUGAUCCUUGGUCCUGAAUUUUGGAUACCAUACUACUGUGAUCUGGGCCAUGAUUUGGAGAAACAGCAAUAAGACAAGAAAGAAGUGGAUCCCAAGCUGAAUUUCAUAUGCAUACAGACACCCAAUUAAAACUUCUACUAUUAUUGAUAUAAAAGAAGUUUUUUACCUCUUUCACACACAUAUUAAAGGAUGUUCUAACUUUCCCUUUUUGAAUUUUUAUUUAUGGUUAUUCAAGAUAAAAAUAGUGUUUUAUCUCUUCCACACACAUAUUAAAGGAUGUUCUAAUUUUCCAUUUGUGACUUUUUAUUUCUUGUUAUUUAUUUAAUUUGGUGUCACUUUUAUGCAAAUGUGUUCAAAGGAAGAAUGAAAAGGCAUUUUUCUAUUUUUUUCUAAUUUCUAAAUUUUCUAAUAUUCUAAUUUUAAUAAUCUCAUUUUCUAAUUAUUCCAAUCUAGAAUCAGAGACUUGUUGCUAUCUCUAAACCCCUCUAGUAGAACUUGGCUCCCCCCAACUUUGAAAAUUAAUUUGAAUAUUUUCCCUUAAUGUAUUUUUACUCUGAAACUGCAUGAAUGAUUGGCUCAAAUACAUCCUCUUGUCUCUGGCACCAGACACUAUUUUUUUCAUCCUUUAUAAUCUCACUUUCCCUGAAUAUUUUCUGCCUAUUGCUGCAUUUUUAAUGAUUACCAUAUUUUUAAAAUUGGUAAAGCCAAAGGCCUUUAUGUGAUGUUCUUAUUCUCCUGGACCACUCUUUAAAAACUGAUUUUAUAGGAUCUUCGAUCUUACAUUUUAAUAGAAAGGGCAAUGUAUCUAUUGAUAUAUACUUUGUCUCUCUGUUUUACAUUUGUGUUUUAUCAUGCACAUAGAUAAUAUUAAUUUAUAUCUAUCUAGAGAGAGAUAGGGAGAGAGGGGGAGUAACAGACAGGCAUAAGGAGCGACAAAGAAUGAGAAAGAGACAGAAAGACCUAGACAGAUACACACACACACAGAGAAAUAGACAGACACAAAGAGAGAAACAGAGAGAGGCAGAAAUACAGAGACAGAGAAAAAGAAAAAGAGACAAAGACAGUAACAGAGGCAGAUAGAGAGAGACAGAGAGAGAGAAAUAAAGACACACACAGGGGAGACAGGCAGAGACAGGGAGAGAGAUAGACAAAAGACCUACAGAUAAACAAAGAGACACAUAAACAGAGAGAGAGAGAAAGAGACAGACAGACAGAGACAGAGAGAUAGAGAGAUAGAGAGAGGGAAAGGAAGGAGAGGGAGGGAGAGACCCAGAGACCCAGAGAGACAGAGAGAGAGUGCAGAGGGGAAAGAAAGAAUUGGAAGGAGAUUGCAAAUGAUUAGACAAUGUAUUUGAAUUCUGUUUGACACAACAUGUUAGAAGAAGGAAGUUUUUUUUUUUUUUGAAUAUUUAGAAAAGUUUAGUCAAGUUAACAUUCAAUAAAAAAUUCAAUAAUGAAUAUUCAAUAAACAUUCAAUAUUUAGAAAAGUAUAGUGAAGUUAAAGAAUAUAAUAAUAAACAUUCAAUAAGAAUAGAUCUUGUUUAGAUUAGAAGGGAAGCAACAAACUGGGAAAACAUUUUCACAGUUAAAGGUUCUGAUAAAGGCCUCAUUUCCAAAAUAUAUAGAGAACUGACUCAAAUUUAUAAGAAAUCAAGCCAUUCUCCAAUUGAUAAAUGGUCAAAGGAUAUGAACAGACAAUUUUCAGAGGAUGAGAUUGAAACUAUUACCACUCAUAUGAAAGAGUGUUCCAAAUCAUUAUUGAUCAGAGAAAUGCAAAUUAAGACAACUCUGAGAUACCACUACACACCUGUCAGAUUGGCUAAGAUGACAGGAAAAAAUAAUGAUGAAUGUUGGAGGGGAUGCGGGAAAACUGGGACACUAAUGCAUUGUUGGUGGAGUUGUGAACGAAUCCAACCAUUCUGGAGAGCAAUCUGGAAUUAUGCCCAAAAAAUUAUCAAAUUGUGCAUACCCUUUGAUCCAGCAGUGUUUCUAUUGGGCUUAUAUCCCAAAGAAAUACUAAAGAAGGGAAAGGGACCUGUAUGUGCCAAAAUGUUUGUAGCAGCCCUGUUUGUAGUGGCUAGAAACUGGAAAAUGAAUGGAUGCCCAUCAAUUGGAGAAUGGCUGGGUAAAUUGUGGUAUAUGAAUGUUAUGGAAUAUUAUUGUUCUGUAAGAAAUGACCAGCAGGAUGAAUACAGAGAGGACUGGCGAGACUUACAUGAACUGAUGCUAAGUGAAAUGAGCAGAACCAGGAGAUCAUUAUACACUUCGACAACGAUAUUGUAUGAGGACAUAUUUUGAUGGAAGUGGAUUUCUUUGACAAAGAGACCUGAGUUUCAAUUGAUAAAUGACGGACAAAAGCAGCUACACCCAAAGAAAGAACACUGGGAAACGAAUGUAAACUAUCUGCAUUUUUGUUUUUCUUCCCGGAUUAUUUAUACCUUCUGAAUCCAAUUCUCCCUACGCAACAAGAGAACUGUUCGGUUCUGCAAACAUAUAUUGUAUCUAGGAUAUACUGCAACAUAUCCAACAUAUAAAGGACUGCUUGCCAUCUAGGGGAGGGGGUGGAGGGAGGGAGGGGAAAAAAAUCGGAACAGAAACGAGUGUCAAUAUAAUGUAAUUAUUAAAUAAAAAAUUAAAAAAAA